GACGAACGCUGGCGGCGUGCCUAAUACAUGCAAGUCGAACGCAGUGGGGACGGUUGAUUAACACGUGGGUAACCUCCCAUACGAGGGGAUCACACUUGGAAACAGGUGCUAAACCGAUCCUGAUGUAUGGACCCGCGGUGCAGUAGCUAGUUGGUGAGGUACCGGCUCACCAAGGCCACGAUGCCUAGCCGACCGGAGAGGGUGAUGGGCCACACGGGGACUGAGACACGGCCCAGACUCCUACGGGAGGCAGCAGUAGGGAAUCUUCGGCAAUGGACGAAAGUCUGACCGAGCAACGCCGCGUGAGUGAAGAAGGUUUUCGGAUCGUAAAACUCUGUUGUUAGAGAAGCGGUAUCUAACCAGAAAGCCACGGCUAACUCCGUGCCAGCAGCCGCGGUAAUUC
rnacentral:rRNA from 1 species